AUUGAACGCUGGCGGCAGGCCUAACACAUGCAAGUCGAGCGGAUGAAGGGAGCUUGCUCCUGGAUUCAGCGGCGGACGGGUGAGUAAUGCCUAGGAAUCUGCCUGGUAGUGGGGGAUAACGUCCGGAAACGGGCGCUAAUACCGCAUACGUCCUGAGGGAGAAAGUGGGGGAUCUUCGGACCUCACGCUAUCAGAUGAGCCUAGGUCGGAUUAGCUAGUUGGUGGGGUAAAGGCCUACCAAGGCGACGAUCCGUAACUGGUCUGAGAGGAUGAUCAGUCAAACUGGAACUGAGACACGGUCCAGACUCCUACGGGAGGCAGCAGUGGGGAAUAUUGGACAAUGGGCGAAAGCCUGAUCCAGCCAUGCCGCGUGUGUGAAGAAAGUCUUCGGAUUGUAAAGCACAUUAAGUUGGGAGGAAGGGCAGUAAGUUAAUACCUUGCUGUUUUGACGUUACCAACAGAAUAAGCACCGGCUAACUUCGUG
rnacentral:rRNA from 1 species